GACGAACGCUGGCGGCGUGCUUAACACAUGCAAGUCGAGCGGUAAGGCCCUUUCGGGGUACGACGAGCGGCGAACGGGUGAGUAACACGUGGGUGACCUGCCCUCCAGCUCUGGGAGUAAGCCUGGGAAACCGGGUACUAAUACUGGAUAUGACUCCAUGACGCAUGUUGUGGGGUGGAAAGCCUUGUGCGGCUGAGGAUGGGCCCGGCGGCCUAUCAGCUUGUUGGUGGGGUGGAUGGCCUACCAAGGCGACGACGGGUAGCCGGCCUGAGAGGG
rnacentral:rRNA from 1 species